rnacentral:lncRNA from 1 species
CCCUAAUUUAUGGAUUAGAAACCCUAAUUUAUAAUUAGAGAAAACCUAAGUGUUAAUUUAAUAAUUGUAAUGUUAAUUACGAAACCCUAAUCCUAAUUUUCAAGUUAAGUAAUUAGGAAACCCUAAUCUAAUUAGGAAACCUAAUUUCUAAUUUAGAAAAAUUAUUUUUAUUUAAAAACCUAAUUUUUGGGUUAUAAACCCUAAUGACCAAUUUUGACCCUAAUUGCUUAAUUAGCAAUUUUAAUUAGGAAAUAAUAAUCCUAAUUAGCAAUAUUUAAAUUUUGAUUAAGGAAUUUUAAUAUAAUUAGAAAAUUCUAAUUAUAAUUUAGAAAUAUUAAUUUCUAUUUUUUUAAAACCUAAAUUAGAAAUUUUAGAAAAUCAAAUUACUAAAACCUAAGGGUUUCAAACCCUAAACCCUAAUCCAAACCCUAAACCCUAAGGGUUUGGUCAAAUGUCAAAAAUGCCAUUAAAAUUAAAUGUUAAAUGUCCAUUUUGCCCUUUGUUACAUAGUUGGACUUAACUUGCAAAGGUUGUCCUAGUGGAGUUGGUGAGCCACCUAGCCUAGCAUGUGACUGAUAUUUCUAUCAAUCAACCAUCCUUGUCAGCCAUUACAUUGCAUACAACAUGUAUAUAGAUUAAAGAAAGAGAAAAGUCUCUUUUGACUUUUCAUUUUCUACAAACCCAUCCUAUCUCUUCAUCUUUGAAAUCUAGAGUGAGAUAUAGAGAAAAAUAAAGCUAUGUUAGCCAUUUAUCAAGCCAAGAACAACAACCAAAAGUCGGAAUCAAAAAUCAAACUCUAAAGAGGUAUAAACCCUAAUUUUUUUAAUCCUUAGAUCUGUUGUUAGAUGUUGUAAUUGAUUGUUUGGAUAUGUGUUAGAGGGUGUCAUUUUAUGAUCUGGGUUGCCAAAACCUAGAUCCAUAUCAUUUUGAUACUCGAAUUUAAAGAUUUCUCAAAUUUGGAAAAAGGUUGAAAAGUCGUAUGACAACCGAAAGUCAGAUCUUAUAGAUUCUUCUUUGUUAACUGAUUUUGUGUUUUAAGCUUUUGUACUUGUAGUAUGUUGUAUGGUCUUUGAUCUGAACCUAUAAACUUGGCCAGAUCAUGAGUAGAUUGAGAGAUAUGAGCAGUCAAACUGCGUUGACCAAUCACGAGUAUGAGCUUCUGGGCGACCCAGAACCCUAGCGAAUUAUAAGAAACCCUAGAAACUGGUCCUGAAACCCCAAUUUCGGUACCGGGAAUUCGAAACCCUAAUUCAGAAAUUUAAACCCUAAUUUGGGAAUAUAGAUGUUAGUAUAAGGUUUUACGUUAUUAAAUAAAACUUAAUUAGGGAAAACCCUAAAGAUUUUCUGGAAAC